rnacentral:tRNA from 1 species
GCCUCUGUGGUUCAGUGGUUGAGCGUUGGACUCACGAUCCGGAGGCCCGGGUUCGAAUCCCGGUGGGGACA